rnacentral:lncRNA from 1 species
CCCAGGUGUGGCAGUACACAAUUAUUUCAGGAGUUGGAAGGUGGGGCGGACUCCCUAUGUGGCAUGGCUGUUUGAGAUGACCAGUGGCACAAGUCUGCUGUAGCCAACAAGCCCCAUUGCCCAUGGGCCCAUAAACUCUACCAAUACAGUUCUGCCCUGUGUGCAUGCCCUUCCCCACCGAAGCACACCCACCCGCCCCACUGCUGAGAUCCAACACGGUCCACCUAGCAGGCCCAGAAGUUGCCUGUGGACUUGCUGGCAAAGACACCAGAGAUUAUCGAGUCACAAAAUCUCCCUUGGUUCAGCCUUCAGGUGGAGAUUUUCCUUUGCUGAACUUGCAGGGCUCAUGUCCAUGAGAGAAAGACCCACAAGAGGAACACUGAGGUUUACUCCUCUCACUCACUUAAUGGCGGUCCCUUCUGCAUGUUGUGCAGAUGCAUUGUUUCAUCAUGGCCGUGCUUAUGGGCAAGAGAUGCAAGGAGAGAGAACUGAUGAUUAACCAAUGCACAGAGAAAAUACUCUGAAUUUCAAAGUGAC